rnacentral:rRNA from 1 species
UGGGGAAUAUUGGGCAAUGGGCGAAAGCCUGACCCAGCGACGCCGCGUGAGGGAAGAAGGUCUUCGGAUUGUAAACCUCUUUCAGCAAGGAAGAAGAAAGUGACGGUACUUGCAGAAGAAGCCACGGCUAACUACGUGCCAGCAGCCGCGGUAAUACGUAGGUGGCGAGCGUUAUCCGGAAUUACUGGGUGUAAAGGGUGUGUAGGCGGGGAGCCAAGUCAGAUGUGAAAAUUAUGGGCUCAACCCAUAACUUGCGUCUGAAACUGGUUUUCUUGAGAGUGGGAGAGGUAAACGGAAUUCCUGGUGUAGCGGUGAAAUGCGUAGAUAUCAGGAGGAACACCGGUGGCGAAGGCGGUUUACUGGACCACAACUGACGCUGAGACACGAAAGCGUGGGGAGCAAACAGGAUUAGAUACCCUGGUA